AUAUAUAUAUAUAGAUAUAUAUAUAUAUAUAUAUUGUUGAAAUUUACAGAAAAACAAAAGACGAAGACAGGCGUAUAAACAAUAAGCAGGUGUUAUAGUUUGAAGCUCGGGAAGGUGAGAAAGUGUGUCAUGUUUCGAGCGUACGCUCUUCAACAGAAAGGAAUACGAAGAAAUAAACAGAGA